rnacentral:misc_RNA from 1 species
AAAGGAGGCACUUGUUCUAUUAUUGUCCAGAGAGCAGCUCUCAUAUACAGGAACUUUAAGGAUUCUACAAAGAAAGCUUGCUCUAUUUUACAUGAAAUGACUUACAAGCUCAGGUUAAUUCUAUGGCUUGUGAGAACCAACAAAUUAGUGUGAGGUGAUUUUAAAUCAAAAUUUAAUCCACCCCUUUAAACCCAUAUCUACUCAAACCUACCUCUAAAACCAGAAUCAACAGGACAAUUGGGUGUUGUAGGAACAUGGACAAUUAGGUGUUAAGAGUACAGCAAGUAGGUUCCCUGCACUCUCAUAGCACCCAAUUGUUUUUAGCCCCUUUUCAAACAGAUGCUCUCUACAAGGUACUUAUCACUACCCCGUGCCUCCCUCUUAUUUAUAUAAGGUGGUACUUCAGGCAUUAUUGUCCGAUUGAUGUUUACUAAACAUCAGACUUUGAAGUUAUCCUCGUCAUCGUCAUCGUUCUCCAUUGCUUUUCCUUCCAGCUUGAUACACUUGUACCACCUAGCACAUGCCAUAUACACAACAAAGUCUAUGGUUGUCAAAGCAGCUAAGAGGAAG